GGGGAGUACAUUCGCAAGAAUGAAACUUAAAGGAAUUAACGGGGGCUGCACAAGUGGUGGAGUAUGUGGUUUAAUUUUAUACAAAGUGAAGAAUCUUACCAGGGUUUGAUAUGCCACGAAUCCUUUUAAAAGAGAAGCGUGUCUUCGGGAACGUGGAUAUAGGUGAUGUAUGACUGUCGUCAACUUGUGCCGUAAGGUGUGUAAGAGUAUAGUACAAAUAGUAUAGAAUUACAACUAGUAAAAUGAGAAUGAAUGUGAUUGAUUAUUGCUUAAUUGUUUACUACUGUUUUAACAAAUGUAUUUAUGCACAAUUACUGAAAUACUGUUACUAACUGAAUGAGUAACAGCUUACUAACAAUACUAACAACCUAACAAAUUCAUUUUACAGGUGAUGUACUCUAACAAGGUGUUGGGUUCAGUCCCGCAAUAAGCGCAACCCUCAUGUUUAGUUGUUACCGUUCAGUUUGGAUCCCUGAGCAAACUGCCGGUGAUAAAUCAGAAGAAGGUGAGGAUUGAAAGAUAGUGAUUUUGGUUUGUAAAUUCAGCUCAAUUGUAUUCGACUAUUGAUAGCAAAUAUAUACAAGUUUACAUCAGAGUGUUAUCUACAGCUAUUCACAAUUUGAAUUUGAAUUUUAAGUAGAAUAAGAUCCUAAAGAAUAGGAGUGAUAACAAGUCUAGUUUGAUUUGGUUAACUCUCAACAGCCCCCCGCA
rfam:Gossypium raimondii Chr07_contig_1347, whole genome shotgun sequence.